AUGAAAGAGCCAAUGGGAGGCAGCUGUCUCCAGGGGUAUUAGCACUAAAUUAGUAAGUAAGUGAAAAUACUUACGGGAGGAAAAUAGACGAGAAGACCCUAGAAGCUUGUUAUUUGUUUUGUUGGGGCGACAGAAUUGCAUUAUGAACCAAUUUUACAGAUGUGACGUAGAGCAGGAAAAUUAAGCUACUCUAGGGAUAACAGCAUAAUAAAAUUUGUUUGUGACCUCGAUGUUGGACUAGGUAGAAUAGUCCUUAGAAGGGACUAGAAAUGCUCUGUUCGAGCAGCUUAACCUACA
rnacentral:rRNA from 1 species